rnacentral:rRNA from 1 species
GACAGAGGGGGCAAGCGUUGCUCGGAAUUACUGGGCGUAAAGGGCGCGUAGGCGGGAUGGUAAGUCGGUCGUGAAAUCCCUCGGCUCAACCGAGGAACGUCGAUCGAUACUAUCGUUCUUGAGGAUUGCAGAGGAGACUGGAAUUCCCGGUGUAGCGGUGAAAUGUGUAGAGAUCGGGAGGAACACCGGUGGCGAAGGCGGGUCUCUGGGCAAUUCCUGACGCUGAGGCGCGAAAAGCGUGGGGAGCAAACGGG